UGGGGAAUAUUGCACAAUGGGCGCAAGCCUGAUGCAGCCAUGCCGCGUGUGUGAAGAAGGCCUUCGGGUUGUAAAGCACUUUCAGCGGGGAGGAAGGCGUUAAGGUUAAUAACCUUGGCGAUUGACGUUACCCGCAGAAGAAGCACCGGCUAACUCCGUGCCAGCAGCCGCGGUAAUACGGAGGGUGCAAGCGUUAAUCGGAAUUACUGGGCGUAAAGCGCACGCAGGCGGUUGAUUGAGUCAGAUGUGAAAUCCUAUAGCUCAACUAUAGUAAGCUUUUAAAACUGCUCAUCUUGAGGUAUGGAAGGGAAAGUGGAAUUCCUAGUGUAGCGGUGAAAUGCGCAGAUAUUAGGAGGAAUACCGGUGGCGAAGGCGACUUUCUGGCCAUAACCUGACGCUGAGGUACGAAAGCGUGGGUAGCAAACAGG
rnacentral:rRNA from 1 species